CCUACGGGGGGCAGCAGUGAGGAAUAUUGGUCAAUGGACGCAAGUCUGAACCAGCCAUGCCGCGUGCAGGAAGAAGGCUCUAUGAGUUGUAAACUGCUUUUGCACGAGGGUAAAUCCCGAUACGUGUACCGGGUUGAAAGUAUCGUACGAAUAAGGAUCGGCCAAACUCGUGCCAGCAGCCGCGGUAAUACGGAGGAUUCAAGCGGUAACCGGAUUUACUGGGUUUAACGGGUGCCUAGGCGGUUCGUUAAGUUAGAGGUGAAAUCCCGGGGCUCAACUCCGGCACUGCCUCUGAUACUGUCGGGCUAGAGUUUAGUUGCGGUAGGCGGAAUGUAUGGUGUAGCGGUGAAAUGCAUAGAGAUCAUACAGAACACCGAUUGCGAAGGCAGCUUACCAGCCUACGACUGACGUUGAGGCACGAAAGCGUGGGGAGCAAACAGGAUUAGAUACCCGGGUAGUC
rnacentral:rRNA from 1 species